CGGACGGGUGAGUAAUGCCUAGGAAUCUGCCUGGUAGUGGGGGACAACGUUUCGAAAGGAACGCUAAUACCGCAUACGUCCUACGGGAGAAAGCAGGGACCUUCGGGCCUUGCGCUAUCAGAUGAGCCUAGGUCGGAUUAGCUAGUUGGUGAGGUAAUGGCUCACCAAGGCGACGAUCCGUAACUGGUCUGAGACGGAUGAUCAGUCACACUGGAACUGAGACGACGGUCCAGACUCCGUACGGGGAGGCAGCAGUA
rnacentral:rRNA from 1 species